rnacentral:rRNA from 1 species
GUGAGGAAUAUUGGACAAUGGGCGCAAGCCUGAUCCAGCCAUGCCGCGUGCAGGAAGACGCAUCUAUGGUGUGUAAACUGCUUUUGUACGGGAAGAAACACUCCCUCGUGAGGGAGCUUGACGGUACCGUAAGAAUAAGGAUCGGCUAACUCCGUGCCAGCAGCCGCGGUAAUACGGAGGAUCCAAGCGUUAUCCGGAAUCAUUGGGUUUGAAGGGUCCGUAGGCGGUUUAAUAAGUCAGUGGUGAAAGCCCAUCGCUCAACGAUGGAACGGCCAUUGAUACUGUUAGACUUGAAUUACAAGGAAGUAACUAGAAUAUGUAGUGUAGCGGUGAAAUGCUUAGAUAUUACAUGGAAUACCAAUUGCGAAGGCAGGUUACUACUUGUGGAUUGACGCUGAUGGACGAAAGCGUGGGGAGCGAACAGGAUUAGAUACCCGUGUAGUCC